rnacentral:rRNA from 1 species
AGCAGCCGCGGUAAUUCCAGCUCCAAUAGCGUAUAUUAAAGUUGUUGCAGUUAAAAAGCUCGUAGUUGAAUUUCGGGAUCAGUACGCUGGUCGUGCCUUUGGUAUGUACUGGUGUCACUGAUUCCUCCCUUCUGAAGAACCGUUAUGCCAUUUAUUUGGUGUGGCGGGAAAUCAGGACUGUUACUUUGAAAAAAUUAGAGUGUUUAAAGCAGGCUCGCGCUUGAAUACAUUAGCAUGGAAUAAUGAAAUAGGACGUUUGAUCUUAUUUUGUUGGUUUCUAGGAUCGACGUAAUGAUUAAUAGGGAUAGUUGGGGGCAUUAGUAUUCAAUUGUCAGAGGUGAAAUUCUUGGAUUUAUUGAAGACUAACUACUGCGAAAGCAUUUGCCAAGGAUGUUUUCAUUAAUCAAGAACGAAAGUUAGGGGAUCGAAGACGAUCAGAUACCGUCGUAGUCUUAACCAUAAACUAUGCCGACUAGGGAUCGGAUGAUGUUAAUUUUUAAUGACUCAUUC